GACGAACGCUGGCGGCGUGCUUAACACAUGCAAGUCGAACGGAAAGGCCCCUUUGGGGGUACUCGAGUGGCGAACGGGUGAGUAACACGUGAGUAACCUGCCCUUGACUUCGGGAUAACUUCAGGAAACUGGGGCUAAUACCGGAUAGGAAUCCUUGCUGCAUGGUGGGGGUUGGAAAGCUUCGGCGGUUUUGGAUGGACUCGCGGCUUAUCAGCUUGUUGGUGGGGUAGUGGCUUACCAAGGCUUUGACGGGUAGCCGGCCUGAGAGGGCGACCGGCCACAGUAGGACUGAGAUACGGCCCAGACUCCUACGGGAGGCAGCAGUGGGGAAUAUUGCACAAUGGGCGGAAGCCUGAUGCAGCAACGCCGCGUGCGGGAUGACGGCCUUCGGGUUGUAAACCGCUUUCAGCAGGGGCGAAGCUUGUGGUGACGGUACCUGCAGAAGAAGCACCGGCUAACUACGUG
rnacentral:rRNA from 1 species